rnacentral:sRNA from 1 species
AUCUUCACAGUUCUCACCUAACCUGUAAAAUGGCCAAGUCUGUUGCUUUUGCUGCCCUUGCUGGUCUUGCCGGUGUGUCUGCUUUCCAGCAGGCUGCCCCUGUCCAGAAUGUAGCGUCCGGUGCCUCCAAGAUGACCAUGAUGGCCG